rnacentral:rRNA from 1 species
GCCGCCGCCUUGCCCUCGUCGGUAGGGCAGCGGAUUUUUGCCGAAAAGUUGGUCAAACUUGAGCAUUUAGAGGAAGUAAAAGUCGUAACAAGGUUUCCGUAGGUGAACCUGCGGAAGGAUCAUUA